rnacentral:rRNA from 1 species
AGCAGGGGGGAAUAUUGCACAAUGGGCGCAAGCCUGAUGCAGCCAUGCCGCGUGUAUGAAGAAGGCCUUCGGGUUGUAAAGUACUUUCAGCAGUGAGGAAGGGGGUGUCGUUAAUAGCGGCAUCUCUUGACGUUAGCUGCAGAAGAAGCACCGGCUAACUCCGUGCCAGCAGCCGCGGU